GGCUCAGUUAGUAGAGCAUGGAGCUUGCAACGCCAGGGUUGUGGGUUCGAUUCCCAC
rnacentral:tRNA from 1 species